GGCUCCAUGGUCAAGCGGUUAAGACAUCGCCCUUUCACGGCGGUAACGCGGGUUCGAUUCCCGCUGGAGUCACCA
rnacentral:tRNA from 1 species